GCUUGGCCGCCUUGACCAGUCCGGAGACGCGCGCGGACGCGAGGUGGGUGGGUCUGCCGAAGCGCGUUCCUCCUCCUUUAAGGUUCAGUGACUCGUGGGCGGCCGGCCGCAGUGUCCGUGCACUUGUUUUCGGCAGAAGGUAAUUUUCGUGGCAACUCCUGUUAGUGCCUUCGCCGGGCACCCAGCACCCGGUCUCUGGCCCUUGGCACUCAGCACCCGGCACCCAGCGCUCAGCCUGCAGAGCACCUGGGCGGUCAAGCAGGACAUCUCCCGCGGGGUCUUGCGCUCUGCCAAAGAGCAGGAGCAGUGACCUUCUCGGUGGCUCCGAGGAGUAUGGGCUACCAUCAGAAAGCACAGUGGGUUCUGCUAAGCUGGUGGUCAAGCAGCAGAGACGUCGUGACACAUGGGGGACUGGAAGCCCAGACAGGGGACGUAACAGAAAAUGGACAGCAGAGAAGCAGCCCUGAAGCCCAGAGCCCACUCACCGUGGUCUUGUGACGAGGGUCCGCUCCCCGCCAUGUGGCCUCCCUGCCCUCCCCCUCAGAUUACAGACUGGCAUGUCCGGACUCUUCCCCCGAGAGGCAACCUGGAGGGGACCCUGGUAAGGCUGGAGUGGUCUCAGCCCCGUGUUUCUGGGCCCCACGCACGCCUCUUGCUUGCCCCCACUCCUUCUGCGACUUCCGUGAGGCCUGGGCUCCCCAUACCCACGACUUGGCAGCUUGGGCCCUACAGUGUGAGCUGUUUCCCACAGGUAGGACCCACGUGCCCCUGACCACCCCGGGCCCUCGCCUGCCUCUGUCUCAGGUCCUGCCUCUGGCCCCGCCUCUCCCCUGGGGAUCCCGGCUCUGCCAAGUCUGGGACAGUCCCUGCCACCUGUCACCUGGCAUUGUGCUGUGGAAGAGAGAAGCGUGACCACAGGAAGCACGCUCAGUCGUUCCCACCAGAAGGUUCUACUGCAGUCAGGGGUCCCCUUCCACCUCCUGAGUGGGGGACGGGCCUUGCCCUCCGCCCUCCGGCUCAGGCAGCCGUGAUAACGAGACAACGACAGUACCGCGGGUGCCCUCACGCAGAUUCCUGUCGGUCUUCUGCUGGAACCGAGGUUCUGAACCCCAACUACGAAACAUCUCCUGAGUUAAUGAGACUGACACCUCCCCCGCACCCCCCCCCCCCCCCACCAUCCCGGAAAAUCCUGGAGAGGAGGAAACAUCCCUGGGGCUCCGGGAGCCUGGGCCCCUGCUGCCCUCCCUGGACCAGCCAGGUGAAGUCCGCCAGCUGUGACUAGAGCCCUGGCACCCGCCCGCUCCUGUGUGUUCAGCUAGACAGCGCAUCGUCAUACCAUAUGUGGCCCUUUGUACCUAUUUGCACGUGGACGUAAUACCACAAAUAAAACACUGAACGGGAGGAAUCAGGGAAAAACACAGAACCCAGAAUAUUGGGGGCCACUUAUGCUCCUCCGGGAAAGCAGCGGGGACACUGUGGACGUGUUAAUAUUUCUACCGCAGUGAGACCACAUGUCAAAUGUCAAGUCUGUGUGUAAUUGUGAGAGAGAGAUAUAAAUAGAGGAAUUAUUAUAAUUCCGUCAUAAUUUGCUACUUGACCAAAAUAAACUAAUAAGAUAAAUAAACAUGGCUGCUUUUGCCCAACUGACUAAUAUGACCUGAAUAGAAAUAAAAUAUUGGAUGAGUUGGAGAUGCCAAGUUUAAACUAGAUUAGCAACAAAAUCUCAGUGUGCCGUUUCGAUAUAAUUAACGGGAUGAUUUAAUGUGUUUUUCGCUCAGAAUCGUCGUGAGGCGUUUUUUUGCAAUAGCGUAGAAAUGAAUCCGCACGCGUCCGGGCUGCAGAGGAAUAAAAGGUUGUAAUAUUUUUGAGUCCUCUUGGCAGAGUAAUCCAUCUGGCACUCUGCAGGACAACGGAGAUGUUUUUCUUCCGAUCAUUCACAGCCAUUAUUUAAUGCGGGGUAACAGCCACAGUCUUCAUUAAUAUAUUAACCUAUGGCUCAAAAAGGCCUUGCAGUAAACCAACUGAGGACUCCUCAUGACGGGUUUAUAUCAUAGGGUUUGGAGACACUGAGCCGCGGAGACACUGACCUCAGGGAUAAGCCCAGCGUUUGUUACCGACGGCAGAAGUGUGGCCAGCGAGUGAGAAGGGAGGUGGUCAGAACACUCACGGAAGCCACUACACGCGGGACAGAGGGCCAGUUACAAACAUACACGAUAUGAGGCGCCUGGGUGGCUCAGUCGGUUAAGCCUCCGACUCGGGCUCAGGUCAUGAUCUCACGGUUCGUGGGUUCGAGCCCCGCGUCGGGCUCUCUGCUGUCAACACAGAGCCCACCCUCUGUCUCCCCUCUCUGUCCCUUCCCCGCCUGCACUCGCUUGCCUUCUCUCUCUAUCAGAAGUAAAGAAACAUUUUU